GAGGAAAUCUGUUGGUUAUGUUUCUGUGGUUCCACACUGCUGUUUGCAUCAUGCCUUCGCUUUUCCAUCAGCAGGGAAGGUCUCAACAAAUUCUCUCCGUUUAUGGAAACAGCGUCUUUGAAUCCUGCAGAAACUGAGUGGCUUCUUGCUGUGGAAUAGAAUAUGGAAGGUACUGAAAGCUGCCUGUGGUGGGAUAUGGCUGAGAUCCCUGUACACACAUACAGGAAGGGUUGCUUCUCCUGUAAGGGUGCUUUACCUAGCCCACUAUCCACUAUGCACAUAAAACUUGAAAAUUCAUGUGUCAUAAAGUUACACCAAGGCUACUGGUUGCUAUGUCCCAGAGCUGAGAAGAAGUAUCCAAGAUAACUAAAACCAAGCAGAUUAGUACUUGAACACAGUCAAUUACUUGCUUUCUCAAUUCUUCCAGGAAGAAUUCUAUAAGAAAUUUCACAGCUACUGCAGUUGGGAAAGAGGUCUCUGAUUUCCCCAUGUAUCCCCAUCAGCACUCGCCUCAGAUUAGUUUUCCUUCUCAUAGUCUGUCAGCAGCCUUGAGAUCAAGGAGAUUAAAACACUGUGGAAACUCUUCAAUGAUCCAGGACUCUCUGCAACAGCUGGACCAAAAAUGGACUGCAUUUGGCUGCAUCUUAAUUCUCUGCCAUCUCCCCUCUGCUCACCAACACCUGCACGCAUUUGGGAUGCUGUAUAAGACCCCUGAAUGCAGCUCUAAGCAACCAGUCUGCAAUGCACAUGUCUGAUGCUCUGCUGGUGUGGAACCAGUAUGCUGGUAAUCCUGUUAGUAAUGGCAGAAGCUCUCUCUAGGAAAUUAUAACAAAUAGUCUUAAACAAUUCCUUUUGUUGACAACUCUAUCCAAGAAACCAUCUUCCCUGGAGACUUCACUCAACUUUUUACUAAUCCCCUCCUUCCCUCAGGAGCUCUUUUGUUGAAGGAGAUUGUAGGCAUACCCCAGGAAUGACAGGUCUCUGUAAGCCUUGGAGGAGACUCUACAUUCUUUCAAUUGUCAGUCCCCAUCUGUCCUGUUUGUACAUCGAUCUUCUGGUCCAGGGAACUCUCUAUUAAGUGACACAUGGCUGAGUAUAUUCUGCAAGUCCAGUGUCCAGACUGUGCCGUUACAUCUUCGUUGCCAAGUCAAUCCUUCUGACAUUGCUUUCUGAAAAACAAAAGGCAGGACAUCUGCACAAUUUCAUUCUCUUCUACUGAAAGGUGACUUUUAAAAACACACACCCCACCCCUCAAACUGUGUCCUUGUUUUAUAAUCUCAAAGAUUUUUCUCCAUUUUUUCAACAUAAGGAGUUAUUUCAAAGGUCCUUGGUGUAAGGGAGGGAACAAUCUGCCCCUAUGGCAGAGGAAUUCUAUUAGGGUAAAAAUCCAUGGCCUAAGUCCUGAAUCAAAAAGAAAAAUAAAUCCCAGUUAUAAAUAUUCUGCAGAGCUAGGGCCUUCAGUCACUCUGCUUGUUAAAAGUUGGUUUAAAUCAGGCUCUUCUCUUCCUCAAGAUUCAACUACCCUUAGCUGGUACAGUAUCACAUACAUGUAGGAGGCACAGCAUUAUCUGAAUAUUUAUUUUGAGAUCCAGAAUGAGACAGUAGCAGAUUCCAAUGACCCAUAUGUUCCUCCUCAGCAGGUAGAGGGAAAUUGGUGGGUGGAAUAGGGUAGAAUAUGGGUGGAGUGUUGGCAUGGAGUAUAUAUCACCCUGGGACAGACGACUGACAGUACCUCAUCUUUUCCUGAAACCAGAAGGAGAACAAGGAGGAGUCUGUGGUGAUGUUUUGUCCCUUACUGUUUUGCUCUGAGCCCAUGGAUUCAAGAUGGAGCCUGGUAUGUUUAGUUUUUUGGUUUUGUCUAUUUUUGGAACUUAAGUUGGCAAAUGAAGGAAGGCUGGCCAGUUUCAUUAUGUUCCCAGGAAAUUCCAUUCUCUCAUGUGCCAGCAUGAGGCUGUUGUGCUUUAGAUGCCUAUCUACCUCUCAUUAGAUUUGAAAAAGCAUACAGAACCCCAUGCUUUCCAUUGGUAGCCUAUUAAAAUGACAAAAAAAUUACUGUUUCAUUUAUAGCCUUGCUUGCAUGUCUGUAUCCAGAUGCCUUUUUUAAAAAGAGAAUUAAUAAUAUGAACACCAUCACAUAAAGAAUGUUUUCCAGCAAUGAACUGCAUGAGAAAACUUGACUUGACAUUUAACCUUGUUUAGUAUGUUUUGUAAGCAGCUAAAAUAAAGGGACACAAUCAUUUUGAGACCAGGUUAACAUAUAGAAAAAUGUUUAAGAGUUUCUCCUACUAGUUGCAAGUUUUCACUAUUUUAAAUGAUAUAUUAGUGAAAUGCUCUCGAAAUUUAAAAUGGGCCAAAUCCAAGUUCAUUGACCACUGAUGCAUGAGUGCCCUCCUCAAGUGAGUUGUCCCAGAAGCCUUAGUGGAACUGACAGCCAGCUUUUCUGGCAGGAUUAGCUCCUCUGAUCACAGAGAGGGCACAGCCGUCCUGUCUGCACUCAGCUGAGCAGGUGAGCAGGGGAGGUAUUCAGGCUGCUUCCAAAACCCCAUCUGGUCACAGCGCCGCCAAUGUAGAUCUUUCUUUAAAGGAUUCCAGGCCUCUCUGCCUGCUGCUGUCUACAUGAAGGGGUAGAGAGAGGCUGUGAGACUAGGCUCUGAUGCUGGGACCUGAUCCUAUAGCAGGUACACGCCAUCCACAUGCAUCUGAAAGCACAGAUGGGUAGCUGAGGUGUAUCCUGCUAUCCUAAGGUUGCCUCUUAGCUUGGCAGACAAUAGGACAGUCAAACUGAUUUGGCCUCAGAAUCAGUUUCCAGGUCUGCCCUGCAUGCACAGACCCGGCGGUGACACUGACAGAACACACGCUGCUAACAAAUGCACAAAGUAAACAAAGAGACAGGAUAUAAUAAAAGGAUAUUUUCUGGUAAUUUCUUUCAAUAACAGUGAUUUUAAGUGAGCUUUUGGUCUUCUGUAACAAAAAGAUGAAAAAUAUUUAUGCAGAAGCAUUAUUUUGAAGUGUGACAAUAAAGCAGUGAUUAAUUAAAACCAAGGAUAUUACAAGAUAAGGAGAUUUUGUCUAGCUCUGCUCAGAUUCCAGUGUGUGUGAAAUCAAAACAAGUAAGCUAUGAAAUGUGAACUCAGUAGGCAAGGACAAAGGAGAACAAAGCAAUUUGGUCAGUUUAAGCAAUGGGGAAAUGAAGCAAUACUUUGACUGGGGAGGCAUUGGAGGAAAGGGCACUGGUCUGAGACUUGGCAAUAUGACAAAACAAAUCCAAACCUCCCAUGAUACCACUGAACAUUGUUCACUGGGAGCCACUGGCUUGCUGAUCUCUUCUCUCUAAAUGUGAGAUUUCCCACACUGGAAUGUGGUCAUCCAGCCCUGAGUAUCAGAUCUAUUUUCCCACCUUCAAUACGUGUAGGAAUUCAUGUGCUAAGGGUGAUGGCAGCAGCUUUGACAACGGCAACUGCACACUUACCCAAGAAUU